rnacentral:lncRNA from 1 species
CUGCCUCUGACCACUGAUUGGUAAGUGAUCAGGUGUUUGUCAUUAUUAUCUAGACAGGAGAAAGAAGAACUCACCAGCUCUCCCUCCCAAAUGCUGGGGAGACCAGGGCUGACUUACCAGCAGCAAGCCCUCAUAGGUCUCCAGUAGCCAACCACAGAUUUUCAUAAUUGGAAAGGACCUUAGGGGUGACCUGAUCCAACUUUCUACACAAUGCAGGAAUCCCCUUUACAACCUCUCUGACAUCUGCUGACACACCUCCAGUGACAGGGAAUUACUAUCUUCUACAAGGCCACCCUAUUGUUGAACAGCUAUUAGAAAGUUCUUAACACUGAAUGGUAAUUGGUCUUCCUGAAACUCCCUGCCAUUGGNCCUCCAUCAGGAGGUGGGNCCNNCAGGGNGNCNCAGCNNNCNACCCCCUUUUUCGCCAAAUAUUUUAAAGCCAACCGGGUCUCUCUUAAAUCUCUUUUCUAUGGAAAACAAUCUUAUUGUCCUGUCCUGUCUUCAAAUAACUCGAUCUUCUGAGCCUGCUCACCCUGGACCCCUCCUCUAGGGAGCAUUGCAGUUUGUCGAUGUUCCUCUGUAGGAAAAGACCCUGUUGCAAGAAUGGCACCACCUUGAAGCAAAACUGCCAUAAUGACUGAUGUUUGACUCCUGCAUACCAAGGCAUUCCUGUGGCAAGGUCAAGAAACAAUGCCUGGGCCGGGCGCAGUGGCUCAUGCCUGUAAUCCCAGCACUUUGGGAGGCUGAGGCGGG